GUUAGGGAUUUAGCUCAGUGGUAGAGUGUUUGCCUAGCAAGCACAAGGCCCUGGGUUCAAUUCCCAGCUCCACAAAAACA